UACGGAGGGUGCAAGCGUUAUCCGGAUUUACUGGGUUUAAAGGGUGCGUAGGCGGAUAGGUAAGUCAGGGGUGAAAUCUUCGAGCUUAACUCGGAAAUUGCCUUUGAUACUAUCUAUCUUGAAUAUUGUGGAGGUAAGCGGAAUAUGUCAUGUAGCGGUGAAAAUGCUUAGAGAUGACAUAGAACACCUAUUGCGAAGGCAGCUUACUACGCAUAUAUUUGACGCUGAGGCACGAAAGCGUGGGGGAUCAAACAGG
rnacentral:rRNA from 1 species